UACGUAGGGGGCGAGCGUUGUCCGGAUUUAUUGGGCGUAAAGAGCUCGUAGGCGGUUUGGUAAGUCGGAUGUGAAAUCUCCAGGCUCAACCUGGAGGGGUCAUUCGAUACUGCCAUGACUCGAGUCCGGUAGGGGAGUGCGGAAUUCCUGGUGGAGCGGUGAAAUGCGCAGAUAUCAGGAGGAACACCCAUAGCGAAGGCAGCACUCUGGGCCGGUACUGACGCUGAGGAGCGAAAGCGUGGGGAGCAAACAGG
rnacentral:rRNA from 1 species